rnacentral:tRNA from 1 species
ACAGCGUGUGGCGGGACGAGGCGGCCACCUGGCAGGUGGCCGGGCGCUCGGCCGGGGACAUCUGGGCGAUGCUCGGGAACGUCGACGCCGUGC